rfam:Schistosoma mattheei strain Denwood, Zambia genome assembly, scaffold: SMTD_scaffold0022267
AUCCAGUUGAUGAGUCCCAAAUAGGAUGAAAAACGCGUCCUGGAU